rnacentral:rRNA from 1 species
GACGAACGCUGGCGGCGUGCUUAACACAUGCAAGUCGAACGGAAAGGCCCUGCUUUUGUGGGGUUCUCGAGUGGCGAACGGGUGGGUAACACGUGAGUAACCUGCCCUUGACUUUGGGAUAACUUCAGGAAACUGGGGCUAAUACCGGAUAGGAGCUCCUGCUUCAUGUUGGGGGUUGGUAAGUUUCGGCGGUUGGGGAUGGACUCGCGGCUUAUCAGCUUGUUGGUGGGGUAGUGGCUUACCAAGGCUUUGACGGGUAGCCGGCCUGAGAGGGUGACCGGCCACAUUGGGACUGAGAUACGGCCCAGACUCCUACGGGAGGCAGCAGUGGGGAAUAUUGCACAAUGGGCGGAAGCCUGAUGCAGCAACGCCGCGUGCGGGAUGACGGCCUUCGGGUUGUAAAAAGAUUUCGCCUGUGACGAAGAGUGAGUGACGGUAAUGGGUAAAGAAGCACCGACUAACUACGUG